CCUACGGGUGGCCGCAGUGAGGAAUAUUGGUCAAUGGGCGUGAGCCUGAACCAGCCAAGUAGCGUGAAGGAUGACUGCCCUACGGGUUGUAAACUUCGUUUAUAAAGGAAUAAAGUGAGUCAAGUGUGCCGUUUUGUAUGUACUUUAUGAAUAAGGAACGGCUAACUCCGUGCGAGCAGCCGCGGUAAUACGGAGGAUCCGAGCGUUAUCCGGAUUUAUUGGGUUUAAAGGGAGCGUAGAGGGGUUGUUAAGUCUGUUGUCAAAGUUUGCGGCUCAAGCGUAAAAUUGAAAUUGUACCUGGCAGUAUUGAGUACUGGUAAGGUAGGCGGAAUUCGUUGUGUGGCGGUGAAAUGCUUAGAUAUCACGAAGAACUCCGAUUGCGAAGGCAGCUUACUAAACUGCCACUGACAUUGAUGCUCGAAAGUGUGGGUAUCAAACAGGAUUAGAUACCCCAGUAGUC
rnacentral:rRNA from 1 species